CCGGCCGCCGCUGCCGCCAGCCCAUCGCAAAGUGCCGGAGCCGCGCCGCGCCGAGCCGCCGCCGCAGCCCGCGCUGGGCUCCCCGCGCCGCCGGGGAGCAGGAGGCGGCGGCGACCCGCCGAGGAGCUGCCGGCCGCUCUCCGGGGCUGGGCGAAGCCGCUCGGCAGAUUUGGAUGAAUCAAGAGUGCAAUUUCUUCAAGGAAUGUAUUCCAGUAAUUGAGAAUGAAGUAUUUUCUGUCCAAAACCACCUCAAGCCCUCUCCAACUGAUGCGACAGCCAAGUUUUGUGUUCCUUCUGGCAGCCAAGCCCCUGUAGGUGGCUGCAGCACAAUCCUCAAGGCCCUUCUGGUUUUGCAGUCACAGCAUUUGGGAUUAUGUUUAUGGAAUCUGCCAUAAUCCCCUCCAUCUGACURCUGGGUUAUUACAGCCGAGGAGCAGUGGCUUACUGAGUGCCAUAAACUUUCACCUGGCAGGGAGGAUGGCAGUUUGAAUCCUAGGUAAUUUAUUAGUGAAUUUGUUUCAGCAUGAAAAGUGUCAGUUGUUAUUUCAGAGUGAGUGUAGGUAGCUUGGCAAAAAUGUUGAAAUUUAAUUAAUUAUGCAAAUUAGAGGUAAGUAAAGAUGUUUGGCCCACUGCUCUGAUURUGUAAUAGGUAUAGAAAUAUAAAUGUUCUGUGCAAGACAGCAAGACAUAUGACACAAAGAUUUAGAGUGCAAAGACCUAAAAUGCUAAUCCUUCCUUUGAUGUUUAUAUUGCUUAGCUGGAAAGGGAGGAAAUGCAUUUUUCAUUCUUUGAUGCUGUGGAAGGGAAAGGCCUUUAUAAGCCAUAUAUAAUCCAUAUUUAUAUACUCUCUGCAGUGCUUGGAAGCUUUAUUCAAUAUAAGCAGAAGCUGUAAUAAGAAAAAUAAACCCAAAAUAUCAAUAAAUAGCAGAUGCACACUGUAUUUGGGUAUAAAUAAAUUAUGUGAGUCAUAAUGAUUGCAACAGCAGGUGGUGGUGUAGUUCAAGACUCUGUGUGAUUUCUUGCUUUUUUCCUCAUACUCCAAAGAAGAAGGUUUGAGACCCCUAAUGCCUGUUGCAAUUUUUAGCUCUGCACCUUCAACUGGUGAGCAAACUAGCAGCAUCUAUUGAAUUUGAUUAGUUCUGCAAAAAAAACAUACAGCAAAUGGGCUGGCCAUCACUUGUGAGUGCUAAAGCUGUUGCUAUGACUAAUUUAUGAACAUCCAUCCUAUUUSUCUUUUCCUCUUUCUUCCUGUCUCAUACAUCCUAUUUUAAUUAAGUCUCAGAUAGAGAGUUUGCUGGGGUAGAGAAUUUCCUUGUUACGUUGUUUUCAAAGUUUUUUACAGUGGAGYUCUAAGGUGUAAUUGGAAAAUGAUAAAGAUUUUGAAAUUACCAGUCAACUAUGUAACUGCCAUUAGACUUGAUUAUAAAAACAUAAAUUGUACAGAAGCAGUUCAGGUGAGAUUGAACUUCAGYGUGUUUUCCCUUUCUUAAUAAUAAUCAGCAAGUUUCAAAUAUUUUGCCUUAGAGAACAGAAUUUCAAAGUCCUGACUAUUUGCAGUAUAGUCCUUCACAGAUGAAUAUGCUCUUUGGAGCAUGACAGCAUUUAAUUUUAAAUUUUUCCGGAGAUGGAACACAAAACUACUAAAUAUUUAAGCAGAUGUCUAAUUUUUUUUACUGAACCAUAAACACUAAUAAUUUUGGACAGUAACACCUUUUGUUGGUCCAGGAGACUGGUAUCAAACAAGUCCUACACAUAUAGGAGAAGAGGACUUUCCUCCAUGUUUCUGUACUGCAUUUCUCUGAACAGAAUAGAUCCCUAUUUACUGUGAAGGUCAUGUUUGUAUAAGAGCUACUCUCAKCCUCUCUUUAUAAUUAUUGGAAGCAAUUGCACUACCACAUAAUUUGAUGUAGGUGAAGAGGUGAAAAAYCCCAAGAAUAGAAAUAAUUU